rnacentral:misc_RNA from 1 species
GGAAGGAUCAUUAACACGUAUCCACGUAUCCACCCUUGUGAAUUUGUUUUCAACCUUUCACACUUUAUCGUAAUUGUAUAGUUGGACGAUGUAACAGUUGUCUUUCGAUAUUGAUUCGAUCAAUGUGAAAAUUUUAUACUCACCUAUUUCACCCCCUUUUUUGCUAGUUGACUUUUUAUAUGUUGUGAAUUUGGUAAAACAAAUUCUCACACGUUUAAUUACUUGAACGUUAAAAAUACAACUCUUAGCAAUGGAUAUCUAGGUUCUCGCAACGAUGAAGAACGCAGCGAAAUGCGAUACGUAAUGCGAAUUGCAGAAUUCAGUGAAUCAUCAAAUCUUUGAACGCAAAUUGCGCUCUUGGGUAGCCCUAGGAGCACGCCUCUCUCAGUAUCGGUUCAACCUCACCUCAGCAGCGUACAGCUUUCGAGUCGUACGUGUUGGCUGGAGAAUGAGAGUCUGAGUGUGAUCACUUAGUCUCUUCAAAUAUAUGGAAUGAUCAACUGAUGACGAACUAAGCCAUUCGUUCCUCUGGAACGAUAGUCGGUCUCUGACUGUUUGCUUUAGUAAGUGACGUGAAUAUUGACCCUGUGGUCUCCUCUUUACGUGUAACUUAUGCGAGUAAACAUUAUAAGGUCUAGGAUAGAUGAGUUAGCUUAAAGUAGUGGACAGCAAUCAUGAAAACGUGGUGUCAAUUCGUUUGCACUACAAUCGAUUAAUCGCAACAACUUUUGUUGUUGUCUAAUCUGAAUUUUGAUCUGAGAUGAAGCGAGACAACCCCCUGAAUUUAAGCAUAUUAAUAAGGGGAGGAAAAGAAACUAACAAGGAUUCCCUUAGUAACGGCGAGUGAAGCGGGAAGAGCUCAAUUUGAAAAUCGAUUACCUAAACGGGUCAUCGAGUUGUAGCCUAUAGACGUACUAUCAGCUGGAACCUGGGUAUAAGUUCUUUGGAAUGAGGCAUCAUAGAGGGUGAGAAUCCCGUAUAUGACCCAAAGCUUCUAGCGUACGAUGUAUGUUCUUCGAGUCGAGUUGUUUGGGAUUGCAGCUCUAAAUGGGUGGUAAGUUUCAUCUAAAGCUAAAUAAUGGCGAGAGACCGAUAGCGAACAAGUACCGUGAGGGAAAGAUGAAAAGAACUUUGAAAAGAGAGUUAAAAGUACUUGAAAUUGCUAAGAGGGAAGCGCUGACAACCAGUGAUAAUGCGUCAUUCAUCGCUAUCAGCCCCACUGGAUCGUGUAGAUAGUUGGAAACUCUAUUUGCGCGAUCGAAAGGGAGGUUGGUGGUUUAGGAUGGCGUGUGAGUCAAGAUCAAUUCGAACGGUGGGAGAAGGUAGGGAGACAGGUAGGAGAUCCGUCUCUGUUAUAGUCUUUCUACUCUACCUCGGUUUGGAUUGAGGAAGGAAUAGUGCGCUGCUUGCGGCUUAGUCCUAUGCUUCUACUGUAUUAUCUGCUCUGAUCGCAAUGCUAUCUCUGUGGAAAAAUGCAGUACUGAGUAUGGUGUACUCUAUGUGCUAUCACGAUCUUGUACGAAAUGGUUGUCAUCGACCCGUCUUGAAACACGGACCAAGGAGUCUAACAUCUAUGCGAGUAUUUGGGUGAAAAACCCUGAUGCGCAAUGAAAGUAAAGGUAGCCUUGUGCUGCUGAGGUAGGAAUCCGGUUAAACGGAGGCACUAUCGACCGAUCAUCACUUGUGAAAGAUUUGAGUAAGAGCAUAUCUGUUGGGACCCGAAAGAUGGUGAUCUAUGCCUGAACAGGGUGAAGCCAGGGGAAACUCUGGUGGAGGCUCGUAGCGAUACUGACGUGCAAAUCGUUCGUCUGAUUUGGGUAUAGGGGCGAAAGACUAAUCGAACCAUCUAGUAGCUGGUUCCCUC